rnacentral:rRNA from 1 species
UACAGAGGGUGCAAGCGUUGCUCGGAUUUACUGGGCGUAAAGCGUACGCAGACGGUGAGAUAGGUCGGAUGUGAAAGCCCCGGGCUCAACCCGGGAACUGCAUCCGAGACCGUCUCGCUAGAGUAUGGGAGAGGGAAGCGGAAUUCCUGGUGUAGAGGUGAAAUUCGUAGAUAUCAGGAGGAACAUCUGCGGCGAAGGCGGCUUCCUGGUCCAUUACUGACGUUCAGGUACGAAAGCGUGGGUAGCAAACAGG